rnacentral:rRNA from 1 species
UGGGGAAUAUUGCACAAUGGGCGAAAGCCUGAUGCAGCGACGCCGCGUGAGGGAUGACGGCCUUCGGGUUGUAAACCUCUUUCAGCUCCGACGAAGCGAAAGUGACGGUAGGGGCAGAAGAAGCACCGGCCAACUACGUGCCAGCAGCCGCGGUAAUACGUAGGGUGCAAGCGUUGUCCGGAAUUAUUGGGCGUAAAGAGCUCGUAGGCGGCUUGUCGCGUCGGCUGUGAAAACCUGGGGCUCAACCCCGGGCCUGCAGCCGAUACGGGCAAGCUAGAAUUCGGUAGGGGAGACUGGAAUUCCUGGUGUAGCGGUGAAAUGCGCAGAUAUCAGGAGGAACACCGGUGGCGAAGGCGGGUCUCUGGGCCGAUAUUGACGCUGAGGAGCGAAAGCGUGGGGAGCGAACA